rnacentral:rRNA from 1 species
AAUAGCUCAAAUUUGAAAUCUGGCCCUCGCGGUCCGAGUUGUAAUUUGUAGAGGAUGCUUUUGGUGCGGUGCCUUUCGAGUUCCCUGGAACGGGACGCCAGAGAGGGUGAGAGCCCCGUACGGUUGGACGCCUAACCUAUAUAUAGCUCCUUCGACGAGUCGAGUAGUUUGGGAAUGCUGCUCUAAAUGGGAGGUAAAUUUCUUCUAAAGCUAAAUACCGGCCAGAGACCGAUAGCGCACAAGUAGAGUGAUCGAAAGAUGAAAAGCACUUUGAAAAGAGGGUUAAAUAGCACGUGAAAUUGUUGAAAGGGAAGCGUUUGCGACCAGACCUUUUCCAGUGAGGAUCAUCCGGUAUUCGUACCGGUGCACUUGUCCUGGAUUAGGCCAGCAUCGGUUUUCUUAGGGGGAUAAAGGCUUGGGGAACGUAGCUCUUCAGGGAGUGUUAUAGCCCCUUGCGUAAUACCCCUCGGGGGACCGAGGACCGCGCUCUGCAAGGAUGCUGGCGUAAUGGUCGUCAACGACCCGUCUUGAAACACGGACCAAGGAGUCGAACAUUUGUGCGAGUGUUUGGGUGUUAAACCCUCACGCGUAAUGAAAGUGAACGGAGGUGAGAGCCCUCACGGGUGCAUCAUCGACCGAUCCUGAUGUCUUCGGAUGGAUUUGAGUAAGAGCAUAACUGUUCGGACCCGAAAGAUGGUGAACUAUGCGUGGAUAGGGUGAAGCCAGAGGAAACUCUGGUGGAGGCUCGCAGCGGUUCUGACGUGCAAAUCGAUCGUCAAAUCUGCGCAUGGGGGCGAAAGACUUAUCGAACCAUUAAAACCAGCGGUAAAUUCUUGAUUUACUAGGUGGUUAAGAGGUCCCCCGGGAGGGGGGCCUAGGUCUAAUGUGCCAGUUUACCCUAUAGCUACCCUACAGCUACCCUAUAGCUACCCUGCACUUACCUUGCAGCUACCCUAUAGCUACCCUGUAGCUACCCUAUAGUCACCCUGGAGCUACCCUAUACCUACCCUGGAGCUACCCUGUAGCUACCCUGGAGGAGGGUACCCUGGAGUGCUGGCGCGGCCGACACCGCUAAAUUGCGGGAAAGUCCUACAGAAGGCCGCAGGCUACCGCCGGGCGUUGAAAAACGCACCGGCACCAAGAAUAGCGCUCUUGGGUACGGUAAAAACGCCUGUGGUAGCGGACGACCUGCAGCCAACCCCGUUAGGUGCGAGGGGAGAGUUCACUGACUAAAUAGCGGUGGGUUAGCGUGCUCGCUAGCCUAAGACAUAGUCGAUCCGGCGCCUGAAAAGGCGCCUACCCUAUAGGUGUCUACCCUAUAGAUACCUACCCUGUAGGUAGGUAGCGGAGCUAGUAGCUGGUUACCGCCGAAGUUUCCCUCAGGAUAGCAGUGUUGUCUUCAGUUUUAUGAGGUAAAGCGAAUGAUUAGGGACUCGGGGGCGCUAUAUUGCCUUCAUCCAUUCUCAAACUUUAAAUAUGUAAGAAGCCCUUGUUACUUAGUUGAACGUGGGCAUUCGAAUGUACCAACACUAGUGGGCCAUUUUUGGUAAGCAGAACUGGCGAUGCGGGAUGAACCGAACGCGGGGUUAAGGUGCCAGAGUGGACGCUCAUCAGACACCACAAAAGGUGUUAGUACAUCCUGACAGCAGGACGGUGGCCAUGGAAGUCGGAAUCCGCUAAGGACUGUGUAACAACUCACCUGCCGAAUGUACUAGCCCUGAAAAUGGAUGGCGCUCAAGCGUCUCACCCAUACCUCGCCCUUA